CUGACCAAUCAUAUGUCAACAACGAACACGCAGAACAAAGGUCAAUGUGAUAAGGGAGUUCACUUUGACAAAUAUCCAAACAAAGAGCAAUGUCUUGUUACAGAGAAAGAAAAUUUGAAAAUUUGACUUGGUGCGGGGCUGUAAAGAAUUACGGACAUCGAAUGAACUGAGACAAUGUGACAGAAAAGAGUUUAUGAACGCUGGAAUUGACAUAUCAUGGUUAUAUUAAAGAAAAUUUGGUCAGUAACUCAGUAUGAUAAUUCAGUGAGACGCAGUUUAUUCAAAUAGAACUCUACCGGACAAGCGCUUUUACUCUUUUGGUGGACAAAGGAGUACGUUGGCCCAAGUCCCGACGAAGUUAUUACCAUUAAAUGAAACCGCCGCUGGGGGAAUAACAACAAGAUCGAUAGGCUAAAGCAGCUAAACACGAAAUCAACAAGCGUUCAAUUGAUAUCAUUCCAUGUCUCAAUGCACAUGCUUCCUAAAGUGAAGCGGUAUUCGGCGCGUAAGUAUGCGGUGCAUUGACACGUUUGUUUCGUAUUCCGCAUCUCAAACCAACCAAAAUGUAUUAAAAUUCGUCUAUUUUAUAACAACAUUCUG